CCUACGGGUGGCAGCAGUGAGGAAUAUUGGUCAAUGGGCGCGAGCCUGAACCAGCCAAGUCGCGUGAGGGAAGACGGCCCUACGGGUUGUAAACCUCUUUUGUCGGGGAGCAACGGUCGCCACGUGUGGCGCCACUGAGAGUACCUGUAGAAAAAGCAUCGGCUAACUCCGUCCCAGCAGCCGCGGUAAUACGGAGGAUGCGAGCGUUAUCCGGAUUUAUUGGGUUUAAGGGGUGCGUAGGCGGAGCGUUAAGUCAGUGGUCAAAUUGAGGGGUUCAACCCCUUCCCGCCAUUGAAACUGGCGCUCUUGAGUGGAAGAGAGGUAUGCGGAAUGCGUGGUGUAGCGGUGAAAUGCAUAGAUAUCACGCAGAACCCCGAUUGCGAAGGCAGCAUGCCGGCUUCCGACUGACGCUGAAGCACGAAAGCGUGGGGAUCGAACAAGAUUAGAUACCCUGGUAGUC
rnacentral:rRNA from 1 species